CAGUGACAUUCCUAGGCAUUGUGACAUCGUCGGUAAAAGUAUCAGGGCAUUAUGACAUCAUCAGUGAAAGAAUCAAGGCAUUAUGACAUCAUCAGUAAAAGAAAAAAGGCAUUGCAUUGUGACAUCAUGACUCCUAUUACAGUUUCAAUGAUGGGGAGAUUAUAGCCACUUUUUAUUAAAUAACAAAAAAAGUAAUUGUACUGGAUAAUUAUUCCAAUGAAUUAUGUACUGGUAAAAAAACCCAGAAACAGACAUUUGUUAGCAGUUCAUUUAUGAUGAACGGUAGAGCAUUAAAGCAAACAAAUAGUGUAUUUGAGGUUUUUAUUAUAACUAGAUAUGUUUUCCCUUCAACAAUGUGUUAACAAUAUAGGGAAUUUGUGCAAAAACAUUGCACUUAUCCCUGUAAUGGCAGAAGCCCAGAGCCUGUGUCUGUGUGCUGUAAGCUGUUACCUAGCAACCAGCUAGUCAGUGAUUUCAGUGCAACAGGAAGUGACACAGCAGCUAGUGACUGGCUGGCAGGAAAGGAAGUCAAAGAGAUUGGCAAAAGAAGAGAGCCUGGCAUAGAGAGCCGCAUGGUGGACAAAGAAGGAAGCCAGAGAGCUGCUGGUGGGCCCAGAGAGCUGAGAGGCUGCACCACAAGCAUUCAUUUGGAUCAGGCUGGCACAGGGAAGCCACUUACUGUGCUGGAGAGACAGGAAUCCAGACUGGAGGAACAACCAGUAGGAGAUUCCUAUCUGAGCAUCCAAAGCGGCUGGUAGUUGCACUGUAUGACUGAAGCUGCUGGAUUCACCUGAAGUGAGCUCUAAAGUUUCCAAAGAGGAUUUAACACAACUGAUCACUUGUGUGUGCCAGGAUAAGCCUGCCAAACCCACAAACAAGAACCACGGUUGGGGUCGGACAAGUUGGCAUGGCCUGCGCUGUCGGUGUCCUCCUGAAGAUUAUUCCGUAACUGCUAACUCUAGAAUUGUGGUGGUAACUGGUGGAGUCUGCCAGCAGGAAGGACAAAGCCGCCUGAAUUUGGUGCAGAGCAAUAUCAAAGUUCAUUAUCCCUCAAAUACAGUCCUCUGACUGCAUCAUCAUUGUGGUCUCCAAUCCAGGUACAUCUGCAUCUAUUUUAGAGGAGUGUCCUGUGCUUCCACAUCUGACACAUUCGGUGGUAUUUACAGCCCACCAGACUGCUGUGGUAACAAUCAAUUGAGGCUUAUAACCACUUAUUUUACAUUUAAUGCGUUUUUAUAUUUUUAAUACCCGUACACUCCAAUUUUGGACCAUAGCAAGAUAUAGAAUUCUCUACCUAGUGGACAUCUUGACCUAUGUAACCUGGAAACUAAGUGGCCUUCCCCAGCACCGUAUCAUUGGCAGUGGAAUAAUCUGGAUUCUGCACAGUUUCGCCAUCUGAUCUCUGAGAAGCUUGGGGUUCACCCAACCAGCUGUCAUGGCUUCAUCCUGAGAGAACAUGGAGAUUCCAGUGGUAAGAAAGUAAGGCUAAACUGCUUUGAGGUUCAACUUUUUUUUUUUUUUUUUUUUUUGAACAGUGGCUCUCUGGAGUGGUGUAAAUGUCGCUGAAAAAAAUAAUUACCCUCGCACACCCUGGCUGUAAAUAAAUAUGAAUCCCCGGUGCUCGGUGAAAGAGGAAUUGGAAACCUCAAAUUCCUCUUCUCAGUCUCUCAAACCUGACAUUGGCUCUGAUGAAGAUUGUUGUAAAUGGAAAGAGGUUCACAAGCAGUGGCGGUGGCGGGGCCCUGAUGUGUCAGCCCCAGUGGGCCCUGACCCCCCCCCCCCAGUCCGAGCCUGCAAAUUAGAAUUCGGAUUCAGUUCAGUAUUCGGCCGAAUCGCUCACCAAGGAUUUGGCUGAAUCUUUCACCAAGGAUUCGGCCAAAUCCCAAAUAGUGGAUUCGGUGCAUCCCUAUUAAAAGCGCAUAUUUUAUAACCAACCUCAAUACCAACACUUCUAUCGAACCACAGAUCAAACCGAAAUAAGAAAAUAUCCAGAUUAAUUACAUGUAUUCUAAUACCAGUUAGUGCAAGUGAUCAUAAAGCGCAUGUCGUCUACUUUCUUCCUUCCCAUUUCCACCUGGGGGAUAUCUGCUCUGUGUUGUGUCUGUGAGGAUUCCACAGGAGGCUGCUCUAACAAGGUCACCUCUUCUCGGGCAGCAUUUGGGUUUUUGUCAGCCAGAUUUGGGCCACCGUUUUGGAUUUUGUUCUUGUCAAGAUUUUGACUUCUACCCACUUCCUGUAAAAAAUGGAAAUAAGGUUAUUUUUUUUUUUGCUGAAGGACGGC